GGACAGGUGGGUGAGUGGUUAAAGCCAACAGACUGUAAAUCUGUCACUCCUUGCGAGUUACGAAGGUUCGAAUCCUUCCCUGUCCACCA
rnacentral:tRNA from 3 species